rnacentral:rRNA from 1 species
GUUUGAUCAUGGCUCAGAUUGAACGCUGGCGGAAUGCUUUACACAUGCAAGUCGAACGGUAGAGGGGGCAACCCCUUGAGAGUGGCGAACGGGUGAGUAAUAUAUCGGAACGUGCCCAGUCGUGGGGGAUAACGUAGCGAAAGUUACGCUAAUACCGCAUACGAUCUAAGGAUGAAAGCGGGGGAUCGCAAGACCUCGCGCGACUGGAGCGGCCGAUAUCAGAUUAGGUAGUUGGUGAGGUAAAGGCUCACCAAGCCAACGAUCUGUAGCUGGUCUGAGAGGACGACCAGCCACACUGGAACUGAGACACGGUCCAGACUCCUACGGGAGGCAGCAGUGGGGGAUUUUGGACAAUGGACGCAAGUCUGAUCCAGCCAUUCCGCGUGCAGGAUGAAGGCCCUCGGGUUGUAAACUGCUUUUGUACAGAACGAAAAGGUCUCUCUUAAUACGGGGGGCUCAUGACGGUACUGUAAGAAUAAGCACCGGCUAACUACGUGCCAGCAGCCGCGGUAAUACGUAGGGUGCAAGCGUUAAUCGGAAUUACUGGGCGUAAAGCGUGCGCAGGCGGUUAUAUAAGACAGAUGUGAAAUCCCCGGGCUCAACCUGGGAACUGCAUUUGUGACUGUAUAGCUAGAGUACGGUAGAGGGGGAUGGAAUUCCGCGUGUAGCAGUGAAAUGCGUAGAUAUGCGGAGGAACACCGAUGGCGAAGGCAAUCCCCUGGACCUGUACUGACGCUCAUGCACGAAAGCGUGGGGAGCAAACAGGAUUAGAUACCCUGGUAGUCCACGCCCUAAACGAUGUCAACUGGUUGUUGGGUCUUAACUGACUCAGUAACGAAGCUAACGCGUGAAGUUGACCGCCUGGGGAGUACGGCCGCAAGG